rnacentral:rRNA from 1 species
CCUACGGGUGGCAGCAGUGAGGAAUAUUGGUCAAUGGACGAGAGUCUGAACCAGCAAAGUAGCGUGAAGGAUGACUGCCCUAUGGGUUGUAAACUUCUUUUAUAAAGGAAUAAAACGAGGCACGUGUGCCUGUUUGCAUGUACUUUAUGAAUAAGGAUCGGCUAACUCCGUGCCAGCAGCCGCGGUAAUACGGAGGCUCCGAGCGUUAUCCGGAUUUAUUGGGUUUAAAGGGAGCGUAGAUGGGUUGUUAAGUCAGUUGUGAAAGUUUGCGGCUCAACCGUAAAAUUGCAAUUGAAACUGGCAGUCUUGAGUACAGUUGAGGUAGGCGGAAUUCGUGGUGUAGCGGUGAAAUGCUUAGAUAUCACGAAGAACCCCGAUUGCGAAGGCAGCUUACUAAACUGUGACUGACAUUGAUGCUCGAAAGUGUGGGUAUCAAACAGGAUUAGAUACCCUUGUAGUC